rnacentral:tRNA from 1 species
GCGAGAGUGGCGAAAUUGGCAAACGCACUGGACUUAGGAUCCAGCUCCGACCUCGGAAUGGGGGUUCGAGUCCCCCCUCUCGCACCA